AUGCUGUAAUUACCUAGUUGUGGUUUUACAGGGCCUGGGCUUACACUUAUGUGGUCCCGUUUUCGUGUCUGUAUUUGUUCAACUUUUCCUUAACCCGUCCGCUGCGAUUGGCACGGAUUUGGCCUUCACUGGUAGCCUGAUAACAUAUACUCCCAGGUCUUUCUCUGCCUCUGUGGUGGAUAGUGGAGUGUUUCCCAUGUGGUAUUGGUGUGCUGGAUAUCCCCUCCCAAGGUGCAGGACUUUACAUUUUCUUCAUUGACUUCCAGCAGCCACUUUUUGCUCCACUCCUGUAGCUUGGUGAGGUCUUCUGGUAGGGGGUCCGCAGCCAAGGGGUUAAAGCAAAUUUGGCCCGUCGCUGCUACCGGGUUAAAGAAAUUCAUGGAUAGUUUCAGAAGACGAUAGGUUCCUACAUUAUGAGCUUGACGUUUAGUAGGUUGGAACAAUGUUAUAUGACUCACUAACCUGUACUCCCUUCUCUCUCUCUCUCUUUCUCUCACCACCAACACCACCACCACUAUCGCCAACACCACCACCGAAACUACCUCCAAAACUUUCAUUACCACCACCAAAACUACCACUGCAACCACCACCACUAUUGCCAACACUGAAACUACACCCAAAACUCUCACUACCACCACCAAAACUACCACUAACAACAAAAACAUGACCACUACCACCACCAAAACUACCACCACCACUAUUGUCAACACUGAAACUACCACCAUAACUCUCACUACCACCACCAAAACUACCACUAACUAACCACUAAC